GCCAGCAGGCAUAUCAGCCUGCAACUCACAACUGGCAAUCCACUGAGGCUCAGCAGGUGAGAGUCUAGACAGUACCUGGAUAGGAGACCUCCUGGGAAAGCUAAUGUUGCUGCUGGAA
rnacentral:rRNA from 1 species